ACCCAAUAACAACGCUGCCAUCACCGAGCUCCCGGCACAAUGACAUCUUUGUGCAAAGGCGAGAGGAGAGGAAAGGGGAAGGGAAGGGGGGCGGGGGGGGGGAGCGGGGAAAAUGCGCCGAACCUACUGGGAAACAAUGCUCAGUUUGUGGAGCAGCCUUGACCACUGGCAGAGCACCCGCUUCAGCUGCGCCACGUUAAUAAACACCCCGUCCCAUCCGCAGCCCCAGCGCCUCACCUGUGCCCCCCCGGUGUCCCCCCCAGUCUCACCAGUGUGGCAUGGUGUUGGGUCCUAUCCCCGGGGUGCUCCUGGUGUCCCUAUAGCCCGAUGCCAGGCCUGCUCUGUGCUGCUCCAGGCCAUCAGCUGCUGGGAGCAGGAGGAGGAUGGAGGAAGGUACACACAGUGACUGUCCCUGAGAUGGGUCCUGCUAGCAGCUCCCCGUGUCCAGGCUCUGCUGUGGUUGUGGUUUUCCUCUCCAGCCUCCGCUCCUGGGUUCAGGCAAUAGCAAUUCUGAAUGAACUUCCACCAGGACUCAAGCAUUGCUCUUGGCUGCCCAGGAAACGAGUGGGGCAUCACAGCAGGGGAAGCCACUGUCUGCACUAGUGGGGAGAAAGAGAAAAGGGGAUGAGAGCGGGAUAAAUGUCAGCCCCAGAACCCCCCAGCUGCACUACAGCUGAUUAUGGCCACAGAAUUCACCCAGCAUCCCUCAUCCCCGUGGACCUCCAGCCCAGGAGUUACAAGGCAGAGCCAAAUGCUACAAACCUCAUUCGAAAGAACCCUGCCUCAUGGGGAGCCGUGGUCCCUAGGCUUCCCCCUGCCACUGGAUCUGCUGAAAAAAAAAAAUGAAGCCCAGCCCCAAGACCCGGAGCUUGUGCAGAUCUGGGGAUGCUGAGUGCUGUGGCAUAGCCAUCCGAGGCAGCCCUGCAGCGGUGAUGCUGGAGCUCAGUAGGACCCCAUGCUGCUUUCCCCACCCCAUUGCUCUGUGCUGUUCUGGGUUGCCAGCACGGAUUUAUUUUAUUUUUUACAUAUUGUUCUGCCUUGUGUAUUUCCCCUCCACAUAAACCUUGCUUCCAUCCAUGGCAAUUCAUGGGCUACACAUAGAUUUAAGUGCCCAGUGCCAAAUUUAUUUGGCAUGUUUAACAGGGGAAGGCAAUGGGGCCAGAGAAAGAUCCUUUUCUCUUGCCCUUCAGCCCCAUAAAUCAUUGAUAACAGUAUAGAAACCAGAGAGGAGCAAGCAAUGGAAAGGAAGCAAUAAGCCAAGGAUGGAGGCUCAGCAACACAGAGCAGCGAUGCCAAAGCUCCAUCCCCAAGCCCACGUCCACUCCACUCCUGCAUCCCAGCAUAAAAAGCAAGAAAAAGGCACAAAAAUCCCCCCCCCCAAUCCAAGCAGUGAGAAAUCAGCUGAGCGGCCCCAGCUCAGCUGAGCAGCUAAGAGCCUUAAUGCAUUUUUGUGGGUGUUAGGGAAUGAGUUCCCAUUCCUGCACACGCGGGGCUGGAGGUGCUGGGCUGCCUCUGUGGGAUCAAUGCCUGCAUGGAGAUGGUGGCCUCAGCCCCAAAAUGGGCACGGGGUGAUGGAGCUCAUGCUCCAACCUGAUGGGAUAUAAAGAGAUCUGGGCUUCAGCUCAUCCCACACAUUCAGACUUUCAGGUUUCUUGCUCUCUCAGCAGCAGAUAAAUGGGGAGACAUUAGGGAGCACCAAUGCAAGCUAAUGGAGCACCGAGGUCA
ensembl:lncRNA